UUGGCAUGUCCCUGGAGCAAAUCCAAGAGGUAAAGACCACGAGGAAAAAUUCCUUUUCUGGUUUAAGUGGUCCCCCAGUACCCACUUAUUGGAGUUAGAAAAAAUGUUUCUUUAUAUGUGUGUCUUCUAAAGAAUUGAAUCUGAGACAAUAAAAGGGUCCAUGGUAGGUGUGAGCAAGUUGAAACGCUUUCUAAAUUAGAAAAUGGAAAAUGUUGUAAAGGACGUGAAUUCAGAUCAAUCCAAUUAGAGGAUUAUUUAUUGUUUCCUACAUGUAAGAAAGAGUCAACAUGAUGAACUGAUACAGAGCUGACUUCUGAGUCAGAAAAAACUGAGAAUAAGUCCCAUCUCUGGCAUAAUACCGGCUUUGUAACUAUGGGGAAGUCCCUUAAUCUCUCAGUGUUUCAAGAAACUCUGAGGUAACAAAUUGCAAAGAAGACAUCUGGUGAUGAAGUCCUAAGUUCAAGUCCAUCCCCAAAUAUUUAUUUGCUAUGAUAUACCAGAUGACAUGCUUUUUGGUCUUCUGGAGAAAGCAAGUGACCACUGGUGCCUGAAGAAAGAAGCAGGAUCAUUCUGGCUGGAUGUAUUGAGGAAGGGAGUAGGCAGGAUCAGAAGACUGAGUCCACUAAAUGAGAAACUAUGAAAAAGAAGUUUAAGUACCUUGCCUAAAGAUACACAGCAAAGGAAUGUCUGAGUUGAGAUUUGAACCCACAUUUCCUGACUUCCAGUCCAGCGCCUUAUUUACUGUACCCCCCAACUGCCUUUCCAUUCCAAAUGUUGUAACAUAUGAUCUAUGACUGAAAGCCAUUCUUCAUCCUAUCUUCAUUUUCACAUUGUAGCAUUUAGGGCACUGAACUUCAACUCAGAUGGAAUUAAGUUCAAACUCUGCUUUAGAAAUGUGAUAAAUGUGUGACUAUAGGCAAGUUAUUUUCCCUCUCAUGCCUCAGCAUCCUCAUUUGCAAAAUGAAGGAGUUGGUUUCUAAAAUCCUUCCACUUCUAAAUCUAUGAUGCUACUAC
rnacentral:lncRNA from 1 species